GCGAGCGUAGUUCAAUGGUAAAAUAUCUCCUU
rnacentral:tRNA from 1 species